CCGGCGGCGGCGCGGGGGCGGGGCCUUGUGGACGCACGCACGUCAAGGCGCUGCUAGCCGGAGCCGCAGAGGCUGCGGGCUUGGUCUGCGGCGGCUGCUGUGGCGGCGUCCCGGCCCGCGGCUCGAGUUUCAGGACCACUGAUAGCGCCAAUUGUCUUCCAUACCCGGCAACAAGCCAGCCCUAAAAGGAAACCUUCAUUGGCACAUGCAUGAGAAGCUUGAACAGAUGGAAGAACGUAAUUAGUCUGGAAGAUUGAAGAGAAAUCCAGGUCCUCAGCUGACUGCUACUUUCUGCCACCAUGGGGGAACUUUUCCGGAGUGAGGAGAUGACACUGGCCCAGCUUUUUCUACAGUCAGAAGCUGCUUAUUGUUGCGUCAGUGAAUUAGGAGAACUCGGAAAGGUUCAGUUUCGUGAUUUAAAUCCAGACGUGAAUGUUUUCCAGCGGAAAUUUGUGAAUGAAGUUAGAAGAUGUGAAGAAAUGGAUCGAAAGCUUCGAUUUGUUGAGAAAGAGAUAAGAAAAGCUAAUAUUCCAAUUAUGGACACUGGCGAAAACCCAGAGGUGCCCUUCCCUCGGGACAUGAUUGACUUAGAGGCCAAUUUUGAGAAGAUUGAAAAUGAACUGAAGGAAAUCAACACAAACCAGGAAGCUCUGAAGAGGAACUUCCUGGAACUGACGGAAUUAAAAUUUAUACUUCGCAAAACUCAGCAGUUUUUCGAUGAGGCUGAAUUGCAUCAUCAGCAGAUGGCGGAUCCAGAUCUGUUGGAAGAGUCCUCGUCCCUCUUGGAGCCAAGUGAGAUGGGAAGAGGCACACCUUUAAGACUUGGCUUCGUGGCUGGUGUGAUUAACCGGGAGCGCAUCCCUACUUUUGAGCGCAUGCUUUGGCGGGUGUGCCGGGGGAAUGUAUUCCUGCGACAGGCUGAAAUCGAGAACCCCCUGGAGGAUCCUGUGACUGGUGACUACGUGCACAAAUCUGUGUUCAUCAUUUUCUUCCAAGGCGAUCAGCUGAAAAACAGAGUCAAGAAAAUCUGUGAAGGGUUCCGAGCCUCACUGUAUCCCUGUCCUGAGACGCCACAGGAGAGGAAGGAAAUGGCUUCUGGAGUUAAUACCAGGAUUGACGAUCUCCAAAUGGUUCUGAAUCAAACAGAAGAUCACCGCCAGAGGGUUCUGCAGGCAGCUGCUAAGAACAUCCGUGUCUGGUUCAUCAAAGUACGGAAGAUGAAGGCCAUCUAUCAUACUCUGAACCUCUGCAAUAUAGAUGUAACCCAGAAGUGUCUGAUUGCGGAGGUCUGGUGCCCCGUCACUGACCUCGACUCCAUCCAGUUUGCACUCAGAAGGGGCACGGAACACAGUGGCUCCACCGUGCCCUCCAUUUUGAACAGGAUGCAGACAAACCAGACUCCCCCAACCUAUAACAAAACGAACAAGUUCACUUAUGGCUUUCAGAACAUAGUAGAUGCUUAUGGAAUUGGAACUUACCGAGAGAUAAAUCCAGCUCCGUACACCAUCAUCACUUUCCCUUUCCUGUUUGCUGUGAUGUUUGGGGACUUUGGCCAUGGCAUUUUGAUGACUCUUUUUGCUGUAUGGAUGGUGUUAAGGGAGAGCCGGAUCCUCUCCCAAAAGAAUGAGAAUGAGAUGUUUAGCACUGUGUUCAGUGGCCGAUACAUAAUUCUGUUGAUGGGUGUGUUCUCUAUCUACACUGGCCUGAUCUACAAUGAUUGCUUUUCCAAGUCUCUUAAUGUCUUCGGGUCAUCCUGGAGUGUGCGGCCGAUGUUCACUCUAUAUAAUUGGACGGAGGAGACACUUCGGGGGAACCCUGUUCUCCAGCUGAACCCAGCUGUCCCUGGAGUUUUUGGUGGACCAUACCCUUUUGGCAUCGAUCCAAUUUGGAACAUUGCUACCAAUAAACUGACCUUCCUCAACUCCUUUAAGAUGAAGAUGUCCGUUAUCCUAGGUAUCAUCCACAUGAUGUUUGGAGUCAGCCUGAGCCUCUUCAACCAUAUCUAUUUCAAGAAGCCUCUCAAUAUCUACUUUGGAUUUAUUCCUGAAAUCAUCUUCAUGACCUCUUUGUUUGGCUACUUGGUUAUCCUUAUUUUUUACAAGUGGACAGCCUAUGAUGCUCAUACGUCAAAGAAAGCGCCAAGCCUUCUGAUCCAUUUCAUAAACAUGUUCCUCUUUUCCUAUUCAGACUCUGGUAAUUCGAUGCUGUAUUCUGGACAGGAAGGAAUUCAGUGUUUCUUGGUAGUGGUUGCACUACUGUGUGUACCUUGGAUGCUACUGUUUAAACCACUGGUCCUUCGCCAUCAGUACUUGAGGAGGAAGCAUUUGAAUGUCACAUUAAAGCCCAGGCAAAUUCGACUCUUUCUGUUCAUCUGUGUAGGGAACUCUCAACUUUGGUGGGAUCAGGGUGGGCAACGGACCGACAGAGGAGGAUGCUGAGAUUAUUCAGCAUGACCAGCUCUCCACCCAUUCAGAGGACGCAGAAGAGUUUGACUUUGGGGACACCAUGGUCCACCAGGCCAUCCACACCAUCGAGUACUGCCUGGGCUGCAUCUCCAACACUGCCUCCUACCUGCGGCUCUGGGCCCUCAGCCUCGCUCAUGCACAGCUGUCUGAGGUGCUUUGGACCAUGGUGAUCCACAUCGGCCUCAGCGUGAAGAGCUUGGCGGGAGGUUUGGCACUGUUCUUCAUCUUCGCCGCCUUUGCCACCCUGACUGUGGCCAUCCUUCUGAUCAUGGAGGGUCUCUCGGCCUUCCUGCACGCACUGCGGUUACACUGGGUUGAGUUCCAGAAUAAAUUCUACAGUGGAACCGGUUUCAAGUUCCUCCCCUUCUCCUUCGAGCAUAUUCGGGAGGGGAAGUUUGACGAGUGAGCCCUCGCGGGGCUCUGUGCCUGGCGCUCUGCCUGCUCCCUCCAUGGUGAUUAGCCGUGCUCCUCUUGCCUGUUGGUUGUGAUCCCUGGGUAUCGGGGCAUUUGUGUCAUCCCUGCCACCCCUCCACCAGCCGCCUGUGAGUCGUUUAGAUAGAUCCGGCCUCCCUGGGUCCCCCAGAUUCCCAGCUGUGUGUGUAGUAUAGUGAUUUUCUCUAGAGAAGUUGGGCUCUGGUUGUCACUCACCCCUGGGCACCAGCCUUGCCCUCCUGGCCUCCCUCCAGUCAAAGACAGCCCCUUCUCUGCUUCCUGGUGGUGAACGGUUUGUGCAUUUACACGUGAGCCCAAAGCCCAUGGGAGGAGCGCCUUCGCCAUCCACACCCAGACUUGGAGCCCCUGUUCUUGCCACUCUAGUCACUGUUUGGGGGUGGGGUGCUCUUUAACACACCCCAUUCUUGGGUUAGCAGGGGCGGGUCCAGGAAGAUGGUAUUUCUGUCCUCUGCCCACCCCCCUCUGGUGUUCAGAGCACUUGUUAAUCAGGAAUUCAGCUGGACCCUGCUGUGCCAUCAUGCAUGGCUUCUCCUUGUCACCCCUAAGGGUCCCUACUCAACACCACCUUCCUAAUCCCCACCCAACACUCACACCCUCUCCUCCUCCCUCCCAGAAUCCUCUUCCUUCCCCUUCCCGCAUUUGCACCCAGCUUAACAUAGCAUAGCUGGCAGUGACCCAAAACAGAGGUCCUGGCUGAGUCCUUUGGUUGGCACUUCUCAGUCCAAGCAUGGGCCCUACCACAAGCCUGCCCUCUGGGCAGAGGGUUCACGUUGAUAUUCUUUGCUGGUGCAGACCCUGAGCCCUUCCCCCCCCCCCGCCCCCCAAUCAUGAGUCUUCAGGGCAGGACUGUAGUCAUCAAGGGGGUCCUGCCUGCAGGCCUGUCUUGCUCCUCCCCACAUCCAUGCCGACCCCAAGUCAGACUGGGGUCCGGGCAGGGAAGGUCAGUGUCAUUUGCAGUUUGCUGACUGGAGGCAGCUGGCAGGGCUGCCAGUGCACGUGGUUGUGAGAGCUGCACAGCCCGGCCCUGUGGGCUGGUGGUGAGCCCCCCCAAGGGGCCCCUCCCCCAUCACCUCCAUACCGGGCUUCGGAUCUUCGGGCCUUUUAAUCAUGUGUUGGCGCAGUAGCCCUGGCUGCUUCAGCUAAAUUGAUCCCCGCCGCCUUCAGUGGUCAAGAUAAUCCCCUGAAAUGGCCGGGCUCCUGCCCUCCUCCCACCCUGGUUUUCUCAGUGAGCUGCUUAGAGCUGCUCACUCGACUGUCCCGGGCUGGGCUGGCCCUGGGUGUGGGCCACUUGCCCCAGCUUCACCGUGUCCGGCCAGUGUGACCUGACCCAGACUUUGUGCAGAGCCCCCUCCCUCCUGGUCCCUGUGGUUUACAUGAUGAUCUCUCCUCUGUUUACAGCGGGGUUUGAAGCAGAGUUCUUUGUCAGGAACCCUGCCCAAGGCCCUUCUGUUCAGACAUUCCUGUGCUGAAUAAAGUGUGUUUGACUCCUCCA